UUUAAGAAACGUGGGUAAAUUUAAGUCAAAGCUGAUAAGUCGGAUCACGCGUUAUUUUAUUUAUAAAAUAAGUCCUCUAUGAACUCUCAGCAGUCAGUAACAACAUUUUUCUCCCAACAAUUUAACGCAAAUUAUUAUCUUAUCAAAUGUCCCAACAAAAUACAAUAACAAAUAUUAAAAUGUUCUCUAUUAAUUGCAAUUUGAUGUAUGUAAAUGUUGUAUCUUCUGAGAUUUGUAUCGUUAGUUGAAUGGAAUAACUGUAGAAACCUUCUCUAAAGAUGGAUAGAUGAAUACAGGAGACAUUGGGUUAUUUGAUUCAAAGCAAAGUCUCCCCAUCAGCGUCCCAGGGAGCUGAUUGUCAAUUACACUAACGUACAGUGUGAUGUUUUGUUUCUUGUAGACUGAUAUUGACCCGAAAAGUGGAAAACUAGGUGAUAAUUUACAACCCAAAUGAAUUGAAUGGGAAAAGGCUCUCGUCUUAAUAUGUGUUAAACUUUCCCAAAUACUCAAAGCUUGACCAUGUCCAAAAGUGCUGCAUUCAAUUCAAUUGGGCAUCGAUCGGCAAAUGCAAAAACUACUCGAAAGCACAAAGAAUACAGAAAUUUAAAAUAUCACCGCACAAUUUUUCGAUUCUAACUAAGGAUCUGGGUGAUUUUAUUUUUGUUGUUGUCGUUAUUUUUUCUGUGGAGAUGGAGUAUCGACAAUAGUUUCGGAAGCAACAUACUCCGGAAGAAUUUGAUACAGAAGUUCUGUGAAUGAAUUUGUAGAGAUUUAUUGAAUCCUUUUAUACGUAAAUCAGGUCAUUGCCAUACAAGCAAUUUGAUCUUAUGAAAAGUGAUGUACGCAUGGAUGGAGUUCGACCUUUCUUAAGCCUUUCACCCUAAUGGACUGCAUCACUUCGAUAGCUUCAAACGAUAAAAACUACUGACCGAUCCUCAAUUUUGACGAAAUGUAGUUCUCAAUAAACAUGCAGCUUUUAUCGACGACUUUUAGAGAUAAAAAAUAAAAAAAUAUAAAAUAAAAAAGUCAUAAAAAAUGUGUACACAAAUUUCCUUUUAAGGCAACA